rnacentral:rRNA from 1 species
CCUACGGGAGGCAGCAGUGGGGAAUAUUGGACAAUGGGGGCAACCCUGAUCCAGCCAUGCCGCGUGUGUGAAGAAGGCCCUCGGGUGGUAAAGCACUUUCAGUGAGGAAGAACGCCUGGUGGUUAAUACCCAUCAGGAAAGACAUCACUCACAGAAGAAGCACCGGCUAACUCCGUGCCAGCAGCCGCGGUAAUACGGAGGGUGCGAGCGUUAAUCGGAAUUACUGGGCGUAAAGCGCGCGUAGGUGGCUUGAUAAGCCGGUUGUGAAAGCCCCGGGCUCAACCUGGGAACGGCAUCCGGAACUGUCAAGCUAGAGUGCAGGAGAGGAAGGUAGAAUUCCCGGUGUAGCGGUGAAAUGCGUAGAGAUCGGGAGGAAUACCAGUGGCGAAGGCGGCCUUCUGGACUGACACUGACACUGAGGUGCGAAAGCGUGGGUAGCAAACAGGAUUAGAUACCCUAGUAGUC